CGUAAGACAAGACUAAAAAAAGCAGGAUACAGAUCCAUCAAACCAGCAGAAGAUCACUCCACACAAAGAACCCUUGGUAAACCUAUCUACCGAAAUCGUCCGUUCUGUCAGUCCCCUGGAGGGACGUACACACAGACGCACGCCGUCCUCACCAGCAGUUGGAGGUGAGUUUGCACAACUCAAUCUACAUCCAUCGUACGUUGAUCUGAGGGUUCACACAAUCAUUUGAUUCUCAU